rnacentral:lncRNA from 1 species
CCUGCCCAAGAUGGACAGAUCUGCAGUAGAAAUGAAAUCUAUGUUGACCACUGGAUCUUGGAAAGUGAAACAUCAGCCCUUGCUAGAAUCUCUUUCAAGGUGAUUGCAUUUGUGUGAGGGGACACGAUCAGGAUUCAAGAAAAAAGAAGGCAGGAAGUAUUCAAUGGAUACUGGAUACAUGUAUGGUGGUACAAAGGUUCGUCAUUGCUUCCAGGAGAGGGCAGCAACCAAGCAUAGAAACUGCACACCUGGACAUACAGUACGUCACAUGGGAAUUUAAUUUAAGGGAUCAUUAGCACAGAAGUUCAGU